rnacentral:lncRNA from 1 species
CGGGGUCUUUCUGGCCCAGCUUGUUCAGGUUUGCAAACAGCGGGAAGUAAACGAUGGAGAAUGGGACAUCCCUUAGCAGCGUGGCUCCCAGGCCCUUGUAGAGCCCCGCGAUGCCUUUGCUGCGCAGCAGCUCCCUGGUUAUCUGUGUCGCUGUGGUGCGCGCUUCCACCACCGGCUCUGCUGCCCCGGCCGCGGAGGAAGGGGAGAGCUGGGCCUGUGCUGCCAUCAGCUUCUUCUGUGCCGCGAUCCGUCCUGCA